rnacentral:rRNA from 1 species
CCUACGGGUGGCAGCAGUGGGGGAUAUUGCACAAUGGGGGAAACCCUGAUGCAGCGACGCCGCGUGUGGGAAGACGGUCCUCUGGAUUGUAAACCACUGUCCCCAGGGACGAAGAUGACGGUACCUGGGGAGGAAGCUCCGGCUAACUACGUUCCAGCAGCCGCGGUAAUAUGUAGGGGGCGAGCGUUGUCCGGAAUUACCGGGUGUAAAGGGAGCGUAGGCGGGACUGCAAGUUGGGUGUCAAAUGUACCGGCUCAACCGGUAGCCGCACUUAAAACUGCAGUUCUUGAGUGAAGUAGAGGCAGGCGGAAUUCCUGGUGUAGCGGUGAAAUGCGUAGAUAUUAGGAGGAACACCAGUGGCGAAGGCGGCCUGCUGGGCUUUUACUGACGCUGAGGCUCGAAAGUGUGGGGAGCGAACAGGAUUAGAUACCCCAGUAGUC